UACGUAGGGGGCAAGCGUUGUCCGGAUUUAUUGGGCGUAAAGAGCGUGUAGGCGGCUUGGUAGGUCCGCUGUGAAAACUCGAGGCUCAACCUCGAGAUGUCGGCGGAAACCACUUGGCUAGAGUCCGGAAGAGGAGAGUGGAAUUCCGGGUGUAGCGGUGGAAUGCGUAGAGAUCCGGAAGAACACCAGUGGCGAAGGCGGCCUGCUGGGCAGUGGCUGACGCUGAGGCGCGACAGCGUGGGGAGCAAACAGG
rnacentral:rRNA from 1 species